CCUACGGGUCGCAGCAGUGGGGAAUAUUGCACAAUGGGCGCAAGCCUGAUGCAGCCAUGCCGCGUGUGUGAAGAAGGCCUUCGGGUUGUAAAGCACUUUCAGCGAGGAGUAAGGUGGUGAGCUUAAUACGCUCAUCAAUUGAUGUUACUCGCAGAAGAAGCACCGGCUAACUCCGUGCCAGCAGCCGCGGUAAUACGGAGGGUGCAAGCGUUAAUCGGAAUUACUGGGCGUAAAGCGCACGCAGGCGGUUUGUUAAGUCAGAUGUCAAAUCCCCGGGCUCAACCUGGGAACUGCAUCUGACACUGGCAAGCUAGAGUCUCGUAGAGGGGGGUAGAAUUCCAGGUGUAGCGGUGAAAUGCGUAGAGAUCUGGAGGAAUACCGGUGGCGAAGGCGGCCCCCUGGAUGAAGACUGACGCUCAGGUGCGAAAGCGUGGAGAGCAAACAGGAUUAGAUACCCCAGUAGUC
rnacentral:rRNA from 1 species